GACGAACGCUGGCGGCGUGCUUAACACAUGCAAGUCGAACGGAAAGGCCCUGCUCUUGCGGGGUGCUCGAGUGGCGAACGGGUGAGUAACACGCGAGUAACCUGCCCUUGACUUUGGGAUAACUUCACGAAACUGGGGCUCAUACCGGAUAGGAGCUCCUGCUGCACGGUGGGGGUUGGAAAGAUUCGGCGGUUGGGGAUGGACUCGCGGCUUAUCAGCUUGUUUGUGAGGUAGGGGCUUUCCAAGGUUUUGACGGGUAGCCGGCCUGAGAGGGUUGACGGCGACAAUGGGACUGAGGUACGGCCCAGACUGCAACCGGCGGCAGCAGUGGAGAACAUUGCGCAGUGAGGCGAAGCGUGAGGCAGCAGCCCCGCGUGCGGGAUACCGGGCUUCGGGUUGUAAACAGCUUUCGCCGGUGACGUGGAGGGAGUGACGGUAAUGGGUAAGGAAGCACCGGCUAACUACGUG
rnacentral:rRNA from 1 species